rnacentral:rRNA from 1 species
UACGUAGGGGGGCUAGCGUUGUCCGGAUUUAUUGGGCGUAAAGAGCUCGUAGGUGGUUCGGUAAGUCGGAUGUGAAAUCUCCAGGCUCAACCUGGAGGGGUCAUUCGAUACUGCCGUGACUAGAGUUCGGUAGAGGAGUGUGGAAUUCCUGGUGGAGCGGUGAAAUGCGUAGAUAUCCGGAGGAACACCGGUGGCGAAGGCGGCUUCCUGGACCGACACUGACGCUGAGGCGCGAAAGCUAGGGGAGCAAACGGG